GGAAGGAUCAUUAACACGUUUUUUUCCAACGUAUCUACCAAUGCGCACCGUUUUCAACUCUCUCCCGCGUUCCUUCAUGAAUCGGCUAGGGGGCUAUCUGACAGUUGUAAGGGCGAGGUCACACUCGCGGUCAGGUCACCCGACACUCUCACUCCCGUCAAAAGGGGUGGGAAGAACGAUUGAAGAAGGCCGCGGCUAUCGCUGUAUGCAAUGUAAAUCAAUCCAAACAACGGUUAUGAUUGCUGCAGCACAUUUAUAUACAAUUUUAACCCCUUUUUGCUAGUUGACUUUUUUAUUCUGUUGUCUGUGUGUUUGACUUCUCUUCAUUGAGAAUCUUCUCUCAUUCAACACGUUUGAUCUUUAAUUGAACGGUAAAACCAUACAACUCUUAGCAAUGGAUAUCUUGGUUCUCGCACCGAUGAAGAACGCAGCGAAAUGCGAUACGUAAUGCGAAUUGCAGAAUUCAGUGAAUCAUCAAAUCUUUGAACGCAAAUGGCGCUCUUGGGUAGACCUAGGAGCACACCUCUCUCAGUAUCGGUUCAACAAACUAUCAGCAGCGUGUGCACAUUCGUGUUCACACGUGUGGCUGGAAAAUGAGAGUCUGCAGGCCUCGCCCUACAGUCUCUUGAAAUACAUGGAGUCUUCCUCUACGAUUCGUCCUUGAUGGGUGUCACCACCCUAGGCUGUGCCGGACUGUUUUUCGCUAGUGACGUGAAUACUGACCUCCGGGUCUCAAGUUUACGUGUAACUCGUUGAAGAAUAUUUAUGUCUGGGAUAGCUGAUAUGCAGGGAUCCAUACGAAUGCAAGAGAGACGCAAUAAAACCCAUAUGAUGCAGGAACACUUCGGUGAACUUACAUCUGAAUUUUGAUCUGAGAUGAAGUGAGACAACCCCCUGAAUUUAAGCAUAUUAAUAAGGGGAGGAAAAGAAACUAACAAGGAUUCCCUUAGUAACGGCGGGUGAAGCGGGAAGAGCUCAAUUUGAAAAUCGAUAACCCAAACGGGUCAUCGAAUUGUAGCCUAUAGACGUACUAUCAGCUGAAACCUGGGUAUAAGUUCUUUGGAAUGAGGCAUCAUAGAGGGUGAGAAUCCCGUAGAUGACCCAAAGCUUUCAGCGUACGAUGUAUGUUCAUCGAGUCGAGUUGUUUGGGAUUGCAGCUCUAAAUGGGUGGUAAGUUUCAUCUAAAGCUAAAUAAUGGCGAGAGACCGAUAGCGAACAAGUACCGUGAGGGAAAGAUGAAAAGAACUUUGAAAAGAGAGUUAAAAGUACUUGAAAUUGCUAAGAGGGAAGCGCUGAAAACCAGUGAUAUGCUGUAUCAAACGCCUUUGGCCCCUGUAGGCCGCGUGAGUAGUUGGUAACUCUGCUCGCGUGUUCGAAAGGGAGGUCAGGGGUUUCCUGAUGCAGUGUCAGUCAAGAUCCAUUCGAGUGUGUGGGAGAAGGUAGGGAGAAAGGUAGGAGGUUCGCCUCUGUUAAGUCUUCUUACUCUACCACGCCUUGGAUGGAGGAAGAAAUGGUGCGCCGCUUUGCGGCUUGGUCUUCUGCUCCUGCCUCCUCAUCUGCUUAGAGAGCAAUGCUCUGUCUGUGGAGAAGGGGGGUACUGGGUAGUGUGCUCCUAUGUGCCAUAACGAUCUUGUACGAAAUGGUUUUCAUCGACCCGUCUUGAAACACGGACCAAGGAGUCUAAACAUCUAUGCGAGUAUUUGGGUGCAAAACCCUGAUGCGGAAUGAAAGUAAAGGCAGACUUGUUCUGCUGAGGUAGGAAUCCGGCAACGGAGGCACUAUCGACCGAUCAUCACUUGUGAAAGAUUUGAGUAAGAGCAUAUCUGUUGGGACCCGAAAGAUGGUGAUCUAUGCCUGAACAGGGUGAAGCCAGGGGAAACUCUGGUGGAGGCUCGUAGCGAUACUGACGUGCAAAUCGUUCGUCUGAUUUGGGUAUAGGGGCGAAAGACUAAUCGAACCAUCUAGUAGCUGGUUCCCUC
rnacentral:misc_RNA from 1 species